rnacentral:rRNA from 1 species
UGCCAGCAGCCGCGGUAAUACGAAGGUCCCAAGCGUUGUUCGGAAUUACUGGGCGUAAAGCGUGUGUAGGCGGCGGGGUAAGUCAGAUGUGAAAUCCCAGAGCUCAACUCUGGAACUGCAUCCGAUACUGCCUUGCUAGAGGGCUGGAGGGGGGUCUGGAAUUCUCGGUGUAGCAGUGAAAUGCGUAGAUAUCGAGAGGAACACUAGUGGCGAAGGCGAGACCCUGGACAGAUCCUGACGCUGAGACACGAAGGCUAGGGUAGCGAACGGGAUUAGAUA